GAUCCGCCAAUACUACAGCGGUUCUUUCAAGAGAAGAACCGCUGUAGUAUUGGUUUUUUACGCGUG
rnacentral:misc_RNA from 1 species